rnacentral:rRNA from 1 species
AAUUACUCCUGCCCCGGGGCAGCAGUAGGGAAUCUUCCACAAUGGACGAAAGUCUGAUGGAGCAAUGCCGCGUGAGUGAAGAAGGGUUUCGGCUCGUAAAACUCUGUUGUUAAAGAAGAACACCUUUGAGAGUAACUGUUCAAGGGUUGACGGUAUUUAACCAGAAAGCCACGGCUAACUACGUGCCAGCAGCCGCGGUAAUACGUAGGUGGCAAGCGUUGUCCGGAUUUAUUGGGCGUAAAGCGAGCGCAGGCGGUUUUUUAAGUCUGAUGUGAAAGCCUUCGGCUUAACCGGAGAAGUGCAUCGGAAACUGGGAGACUUGAGUGCAGAAGAGGACAGUGGAACUCCAUGUGUAGCGGUGGAAUGCGUAGAUAUAUGGAAGAACACCAGUGGCGAAGGCGGCUGUCUAGUCUGUAACUGACGCUGAGCUCGACGCAUAACGCC